rnacentral:rRNA from 1 species
GACGAACGCUGGCGGCGUGCUUAACACAUGCAAGUCGAACGAAGUGGCGAACGGGUGAGUAACGCGUAAUCAACCUGCCCGUCAGAGGGGGACAACAGUUGGAAACGACUGCUAAUACCGCAUACUGCAGUAGGGGGGUGCGUCGGGUUAGCUAGUUGGGGGGGUAACGGACCACGAAGGCGAUGAUCAGUAGCCGGGCUGAGAGGGUGAACGGCCAAAAUGGGACUGAAGCACGGCCCAGACUCCUACGGGAGGCAGCCGUGGGGAAUCUUCCGAAAUGGACGGAAGGCUGACGGAGCAACGCCGCGUGAGUGAUGAAGGCCUUCGGGUUGUAAAGCUCUGUUAAUCGGGACGCGGUACCGGAAGAGAAAGCCACGGCUAACUACGUGCCAGCAGCCGCGGUAAUUC